GAUGUCAGAAGGCAGUAUGGCUGUUGUGAAACCUGAGAUGAAGUCUUACAUUUGGCUCCAAACUGCUGAUGGUUCAAUCCAACAAGUAGAAGAAGAGGUUGCCAUGUUUUGCCCCAUGAUAUGCCGAGAAAUUCUUCAAACAGGCAUGGGUUCUUCAAAAAACUAUGCUAUAUCACUGCCUCAACGUGUGAAUCCUGCUAUCUUAGGCUUAAUACUCGACUAUUGCCGGUUUCAUCAAGUACCAGGUCGCUCUAAUAAGGAGUGCAAAAUUUUUGAUGAAAAAUUUAUUCGAAUGGA
rnacentral:misc_RNA from 1 species